rnacentral:rRNA from 1 species
CAGAUUGAACGCUGGCGGCAGGCCUAACACAUGCAAGUCGAGCGCGAACGUUCCUUCGGGGRCAAGUAGAGCGGCGGACGGGUGAGUAACGCGUGGGAAAUUGCCCAGUAGUGGGGGACAACAUUCGGAAACGGAUGCUAAUACCGCAUACGCCCUACGGGGGAAAGCAGGGGAUCUUCGGACCUUGCGCUAUUGGAUAUGCCCGCGUCGGAUUAGCUAGUUGGUGAGGUAAUGGCUCACCAAGGCAGCGAUCCGUAGCUGGUCUGAGAGGAUGAUCAGCCACACUGGGACUGAGACACGGCCCAGACUCCUACGGGAGGCAGCAGUGGGGAAUAUUGGACAAUGGGCGCAAGCCUGAUCCAGCCAUGCCGCGUGUGUGAAGAAGGCCCUAGGGUUGUAAAGCACUUUCAGUAGGGAGGAAGGCCUUAAAGUUAAUACCUUUGAGGAUUGACGUUACCUACAGAAGAAGCACCGGCUAACUCCGUGCCAGCAGCCGCGGUAAUACGGAGGGUGCGAGCGUUAAUCGGAAUUACUGGGCGUAAAGCGCGCGUAGGCGGUUAGUUAAGCUGGAUGUGAAAGCCCCGGGCUCAACCUGGGAACUGCAUUCAGAACUGGCUGGCUAGAGUACGAGAGAGGGUAGUGGAAUUUCCUGUGUAGCGGUGAAAUGCGUAGAUAUAGGAAGGAACAUCAGUGGCGAAGGCGACUUGCCUGGCUCGAWAC